UACUGCACUGGACAGUCUUUAUACAUUCUAAGAGACAUGUGAAUAAUGUGAGAGGAGCACACUUUCCCAAGCACUUGAUUUUAAGAGCCUGUCUUGGGUGUAAGUAAACUGAGUAUGGAGGCUCACCUCUAUGGGAGGCUAGAGUUCUUGCAGCCAAUUAGUUGCUUUGACCUGAAUCGACUCAUUUUCAUUUAGAUGUUUUCUUGCAACCUACCAACGAGCAUCUUGUAUCACCCCCCCACACCUGCCCUUUCCUCUAAAUCUGAGAAUGACUAUGGCAAUGGGGAUAGAACAGCACAUGUAUUAGAAGUGAAGAGCAUUACUGAGAAUUUAGAGACUAUGUCUAGUUUGGAGGAACCCAAGGGAACUUCAAGAAAAGUAAUCAGAGUGAGUAGGAAAGAAUACAUAAUGCAAAUUAUUCCCUCCAGGAACUUUACUUCAAAAAGAACAAGUGCAUUUCCCUGAAGGACACCAGUACUGUCAAAUGUAACUGUUCACCAUGCUUCUCCAAGGCACCAAAUGGGCUUUUAAGUCACAUUCCUGCAGGUUUAACCAUGGAUUCAAAAUAGAAACUGUAAAUUUGCUCUCUAAGUUUGUAUUGACAUGCAGAUAGUAUUGGGGUUAUUGUGUGGCCUCACUAGGAUAUCUGCUUAUAAUUUAAUGAGAGAUUUGGUAAAAAUGGACUGGUUGACAUCACAGAGGUUUCAGCAUUUUUGACCCUCUAUUUUAUGUGGUGAACCCCAAGACCAACUGAGAUCAAAACUUCUGGCAGCCUCUGAAAAUAUCUGCUGAAGAUAUUUGUGGAAUAUAAGCUUAUCCUACAAAUUAACAACAAUAAUAAAGAUAUAAUAUUCAUUUAUAUUCCCUUAGAAUUAAUGAGCCAUUUCAUUGUCUUAGCUAUUUCCUUGAAGGGGAGAGAACAGGUCAAAGCACAACCACUUCCAUAAAACAGAGAAAACCGCUCCUAUUUUAUGACACACUGAUGGAAAAAGACAGGCCUAAAAGUUCUUCCACCCUUCACCUCUAUGAUAGAUGGAUAGAUAGACAGAUAGAUAGAUAGAGAGAUAGAUAGAUAGAUAGAUAGAUAGAUAGGUGGGAAGACAGACUGACAGACAAUUGGGGAAUGUAGUUAGUCUGGCAUUAACCUUCAUUUAUCCGUCUAUGUGAACAGCACUAAGAAUACACAGAUAGCUAACACAUAAUCCAUGCACUGAGGUGACUCAAAGUUAAAAGGGAGACAUACAUUUAUAACGCAUUACGAUGACUGUGGUAGCGUCAGAAACUAAUUGCUUUAGGAGUACAGAGGAAGAAGUAAUUAAUUCUCCCUGAGGGUUUAGAGGAAGAUUCAUGAACAAACCUGUGCUGCUCUGCAAUGUCACUACACAUCCAGAAGCCAAUGGGAGUGAAGUCAAGGGCAAAGUGGGUAAGGACCAGACACUGUACGCCCAUAGAUGACCCCUCUCCUAUUAUAGUGCACCCCAACAAGGUUAUCUAUCCACACAUAUUGUUUCCAACUAAACCAACACUUUUCCUGGUUCUUGACAUCAACACUUAAGGAGUUAAAGCUCCUCUCCAGAACUAUUGCUUUGAAAGCAGCCUUUAUACCUCUACUGAGUAGAGAGCAGUCAGUCAUUAGAGCCACAAAGAGCCAUGCACUCAGGAACACAUAUACACACCCUACUUAAAUGUAUAUAUGCAUGCAUGCAUGUAUGUAUGCAUAUAUAUAUAUGCAUAUUAAGUAAAUGAUAUACAAAUAUAUGAAGUAAAUAUAUACAGGUAUUAUUAAACACCUGAGUAGGUAGCUCUUUGCUAGGGCUCAAGGAAUAAAAAUCAGCAUAAGACAUUUGCCUAUAAAAAGUUUGUAGUACAGUGAAGUAUAUGGCAUGCCCUACCAUAGUCAUUGCUAGCACAAAGGGGAAAGACGAGGGCAUUUUGUAAUACUCUCUUCAGCUCAAGCUGCUACCAAGAAAGCUGGGAAAUAACAUUAUGAGAUAAUCCAGUCUUCCCCACCUGUAAGUACCAACUAACAAACAAAAAGUUUAUGUAAAUAAAAGGAACUACCACUAAAUAUUAAUAGAUCCAAUAUAUUCAGCCCAUGACCACCAGGAAGCUGCAUUCUCUCAGCAGUGUCUUAUUUAAGGUUGAUGCUGUCUUCCUAGCCACAUAAAUCACUCUAAGAGAGAAUAGAGUUUUUCCCUGUGGAGUCUGUGAUUACAGACAGGUAUCCCAGUUUGGGAUCAGGAAAGCCCUCGUUCUAAACUAAACAUGGCUACAGAAGUAGUUGAUUGCCUUUGGCUGUUUUUGUUUCCUCAUCUAAAAGAGAAGCCCUGGCCUAAAUGAUCAGCACAAUGAUUGCCAAUUCUGAUGUUACUCUCCAGGCAGAGGCAACCAUUCCUGAGAGUGGCACCCAAAUGGCACCGUCUUUGCUUCUGUGUUCCUCUUUUUUCUCAGCCAAAGUAUCCUCAUUUUAUUGCACAACCAAAGAAUUAAAAGCAUAUGUUCCUUUGGGAAUGCAGAAAGUUAUCUUGGACUAUCUUGGCCAAUUCAAAAAUCUCUUCAGGUGCUUAUUUUCAAAUAUAUUUUGCCUGCCAGAAGGACAGGAAUUUAUUUUUUUGGGGGGUUCCAGAAGGUAACUUAUUACGAGCUGAAUAGUGAGCCUCCAAAAUUCAUAUAUUGAAGUCCCCGACUCCAAUACUUCAGAAUGUAAUCGUAUUUGGAGAUAAGGUCUUUAAAGGGGUAAUUAAGUUCAAAUGAGACUGCUAGUGUGGGGCACAAAUCAGUAUGACUAGGGUCCCCAUAAGAGGAGGGAGAGACACCAUGAAAUGCACAGAGGAAAGACCAUGUAAGGACUUGUGAGAAGAUGCCCAACUACAAGUCAAAGAAAGAGACCUCAGGAAAAAUCAAACCUGCCAACACCUUGAUCUUGGACUUCUAGCAUCCAGAACCGUACAAAAGUUAAUUUCGGUAGUUUAAGCCACCCAGUCUGUGGUACUUUGUUACAGCAGCCCUAGCAAACUAAGAUAGUAGGCAUUCAAAGAAUAAGAAAGAAUUAAUAUCUUCUGUGCCACAUAUUCUUUAAAUAGCAUGACUCUGUGUAUCUACAAGUUUCACUAAUUUAUCAAGAAGCACAGGAAGUAGGAAUCCUCAAAUAAGUGAUUCAGAAUAUAGCAUUGUUCACUGACCUAUCAUUUGUAUUUGAAACUAUUUUACUGACUUUAUAGAAACAGACACCGCAUCAUGAAUUUUAACAAACUCUUUUGGGGGACCAAAAUAUCUGAAUCAGUUGGCCUACACAGACAUCUCCCAAAUGUAUGAAUCCCCCCUGAUGUAAGAACCAGAGACUCUGUAAGCCACUCUGAACUAAAAAAAUAUAUCAGAAAAUAAUUGUGGAGUUCCCGUCAUGGUGCAGCGGAAACAAGUCCGACUAGGAACUAUGAGGUUGCAGGUUCAAUCCCUGGCCAUGGGUGCAGCCCUAAAAAAAGAAAAGAUAAAAAAAGAAAGAAAAUUAUAAUUAAAAAAAAAGAAAAUCUGAUUCAGUGUGCUUUGAAAUCCCCCAAGAAAAACUGUCCUCCACAGUACAACUUUUUCUUCCUCCUGGCAAACUUUGUCUUAGCAGGUUUUAUUCAGAACAUCUGAGCUAGAGCAGAGUUGCGACUUGAUUGAUACUCACUUCCAAGUGGAAACCACUGCAAAGUUUCUUCUGCAUUGAUUAGUGUCUCCCAGCUGCCUAAAAACCCACAAUGAAUUCACAACGCAUCAGGGAUCGCAUCAGGGAGUUAUUUAUGGGUGAGGAACAUGCUUAUUGCUACCUCUAUUGUGCUAUCCAUAUGUCAAAGGAUCAGAGAUGUAUUAACGGGCUCUUCUCAGGCAUUAUUCCCACCCAGAGCGAAUGACUGUUUCUGAUUAGUCUUAAAUUAACUUAUCUGCAAAUUUAUUUUUUACAUGGGAUGCAUUUGUUUGCUUUCUUAUGAAUAAGAAUGUAUACUUCUCCGUCACCAUGUCUUGCCAUAAGUCUGAACAAAACUGCCUGUGGGCCUGAGCUACAGCUCAGUCACCAGCAUUAACGGGGUCACCCAAUACACUCAUCACUGAAUGUGAACUCAGUCAGUCUCUUAUCUGACUCCACCAGUAAAAUAAAUAAAUGAGCAAACUGCUAAAAAUAAAUGGAACCAUAUCUUAUUCAAAAUGUUAUCUGUAUCUGCUGAGGAAGAAUCCAAGGGAAUUGGCUCUGUUAUGGAGUUGUUCUGAGGUGUUAAAAAUUGUAGGGCAUUAUGCCUGAGGAGACAAUGCAGUACAGAACCAAGAUUCCCCUGUAUCUGAUUAGAAUUUGCACAAUAUUAAGUAAAUAAUGAACUCUUGAUUCGUAGCUAGACAAGGCAACAGGCCUGGGUUUUAUCAUGUGCAUAGUGAUUUGUAAUGAAUGGGAAUGGACAGGUGAAAUCAAAAUGCAGGGGAAAACAUGAAGCUGAAUGACACUGAAUAUCUGUUCUCUGAAAGAAGUUAUUCUGUUUCCCUUAAACCAAGACCUGCAGCUUAGUCUAUGAGUGGUACUGAGUAAUCAAGGUAUAAAUGCUUUCAAUGCCAAAAGCUUCUAAAAUAAUAAGAGGAUGGAGAAAAGAAAAUAGAGAAAUAGAGGGGCCAAUCCUAUUUUUAAAUGUUUUUAAAUGCCUUACCUAAUGGGGCCUGACUCCCACGC
rnacentral:lncRNA from 1 species